rnacentral:ncRNA from 1 species
GUAGAGUGAACCUGUCGUCCACACCUCUGUACGGGGGGAAGCCGGUGCAAUUCCGGCGCUGACCCGCAACCGUGACCCACCCCGGCACCGCCCGGGCGGGGAGCCGGAAUGCCCCGUACCGAAGGUGCAC